AAACUAAAUGUAACUAAAUGGGUUUAUAAACUACUCACUGAGAACGGAGUAUGGCAGGAAAUCAUUCGUAAUAAGUACGUGGAAUCCAAAGCCAUUUCUCAAGUCCAUCGGAAACCUGGUAACUCACAUUUUUGGGCUGGGGUCAUGAAGGCCAAGGAAUUCUUUUUUCAAUUUGGGACUUUCUCGGUUAGGGACGAUUCCCAGGUUCGAUUCUGGGAAGACACCUGGCUAGGGACCACACCACUCAUGGUGCAAUACCGAGUUUGUAUAGGAUUUUUAGACAUAAAUUUGUCACCAUCAAACAAGUUUUGGGACAAGAAAACCCUGAUAUUUCUUUCCGUAGGACCUAUUAGGACCUCGCCUGGCAGCUUAGAAUGA
rnacentral:rRNA from 1 species